rnacentral:rRNA from 1 species
UACAGAGGUCUCAAGCGUUGUUCGGAUUCAUUGGGCGUAAAGGGUGCGUAGGCGGCGCGGUAAGUCGGGUGUGAAAUCUCGGAGCUUAACUCCGAAACUGCAUUCGAUACUGCCGUGGCUUGAGGACUGGAGAGGAGACUGGAAUUUACGGUGUAGCGGUGAAAUGCGUAGAUAUCGAUAAGGAAGACCAGUGGCGAAGGCGGGUCUCUGGA